rnacentral:lncRNA from 10 species
CUCAGUUGGUCUUCUCUGAUACCACCCCAGGGUAAAGGUGGAGGACUGAGGAGCCUUGUUACAGCCUGGUGAGGGUGGAAGUAUAGGCGUUUGUUGGCGGGGAUAGGACCAUAGCUUUCUUCUGUGGUCUUUGAAGUAGGAUUGUGGUUUUCUAAACAUUUUCUGUCUUGCUAGGCUGCUCCCUUCCCAGUCCUUUGGCUAAAAAAAGCAGAUUUUUCUUGGGGCUUUUUUUUUUUUUUUGGUCUGUGCCUGUUGGCGUUUCCGGGUUGCCAGCUUCUCUAGAACCCGAUCUGGGAUAGAUGAGGCAAUAAGAAAGCCCAAGAAAGUCACUGCUGUGUUCUUCCUCAGGUUCUGAGGUCCCUGGCCAGUCCAUUCUCUCUCCACCUUUUAGAACUUUCUUAUGUUUGCUUUGUAUAUAAUAUCCCGGAUUUUUAGUUGUAGUUAGUGAGAGCGAUAGGAGAAAGUAGUGCUCCACCUUUCCCGUGACAUCCUGGUGCUUGACACUGAAAUCACACAUCAAGUUGUGGUAUAUAUAGGGUUUGUGGUAUAUAACCUAAGGGUUUGUGGUAUAUACAGGUCAUUUGUCCUGAAGAUAAGCUGCCAAUUUGAUAGGUAGAAACUAUCAGCCUGCUUCAUCUAGCUUUGAAGGAACAAUAGUUUAUAAAUUGAGGAAACACCAGUAUUUAAUUGUAGGUUAUAAACUGGAGAAGAAUAGCUAUGACUAAGAAUAUAAACUAUAGGGUUACAUUUUUUUAUUUGUAUUUUUGUUUGAAAAACAUAUGAGAAGCACUGGAGAACUGGACUCAGAAUUUUGGAUUUUUUUACAAUUAUAUAUUAUGUACAUGUGGCUAUCUGUUCACUUUAAUUUGCCAUAUGACAUAUGAUAUCAUAGAGAAUCAACAAAAUAAAGAAUGAAAAUAACUGAGAUUUGGGACAAGUCACCUUCAUCCUUUGAAAUCUGUUUCCUCAUAGAUAUAUGUUUUAAAAUUUAAUGCCUACUUGAGAAUGAUUGCAAGAGUUAGGUCGAAAAUGGAUGCAAAUGUGGUUUGUAAGCUAUCAGGUGCUACGUAACUAUUAGGUAUUAUUCAUAUAGUCAUUUAGAAGACAUAUCCAUCAUGUAUGCUUCACAGUGGUGUAGCCCAAUAAAAACAACUGUGAAUAUAAUGGAAUGAGGCUUUUUAUCUUUUUAAGUAAGUUUUCUGGGAUCCUGUUAAAAUCUGCAUCUUUUGAGAUAAUCAUAUGGUUCCUUUUAAUCUAUUAAUGUGGUAAAGUACAUUGAUUUUCUGAUGUUAAAGAAUCCUCGCACUUCUGGGAUGCAAUUUCGUGAUUUUUUUCUCCAUCUCUGGGGGAGUUUGUGUCCCUUGAAUUUUAGUUGCAUUCAUCUGUUAAACUGGGAUUAUUGUGUUUGUAGUGUGUGGUAUGGUUGGUUUUAGGGGCUAUUUAGAUUUACUGUUUCUUCUAGAAAGUUGUAGGUUUUUCUAAAAAUGUAUCCUUUUUGGUCAUCGAGUUGUUUAAAAUAUUUUUAUUUUCAAGUACUUGUUCUAUUUGAACUUAGUCCCUUUUUUCUUUCCUGAUAUUGCUUAUUUGUAUCCUCUCUUGGUAAUGUUUCUAGAGAUGUGUCAACUUUACUAGUCUUUUAAAAUAACUGACUUUUUGAACUUUUGCAAAAAUCAACUUUUAUCAAAGUGCACAAUAAAAUUCACCCACUUAAAGGUGUUUGCUAUGUUUGACGAAGAUAUUACCCUUGUAACUACCACCAUAAUUGUGUGUGUGGUUAUAAUAGUUCCUUCUUCUCCUCCUCCCUCCCUCUCUCUUCCUCCUCCCUAUCUUCCUCCUUCUCCUUUCACCCCUUUCUCUUUCUUCCUCCCUUCUUCCUUUCUUCCUUCCACAGUUCUGUCUUAAAAUGACCUAUGUAGACUUGUGUCACCAUCACCACAAAGGGUACAGAACAAUUCCACUGCACCAACAAAUUCCACCUGUGCUGCUUUUUUUUAAGAGUGGCUCCCCACCCCGCAUUGAGUAUAAAGGCUUUGAUUUUCAUCAGUGUUGUGUCAUUUAUUCAUUUUUAUUGCUGAGUAGUUUUCCAUGUUAGGUACCACAAUAUUCUUAGCCAUUAACCCACUGAAGCACAUUUAGGUUGUUUAUAAUUUUUAGUGAUUAUGAAUAAAACUAUUAGAAACAUUAGGUUUUUGUAUGAACAUAAAUAUUCAUCUCUGUAGGGUAAAUAUUGGAGUGAAAUGGUUAGGUCAUAUGGUGAGUGUAUGUUUACCUUUGUAACACAGGGCCAACCUUUUCCAGAAUGAUUAAUUUUGUUUUCCCACCAGCAACGUAUGAAGAUGUGGUUGCUCCAUAAUUUGCCAACACCAGGUAUUCUCAUUGUUUUUAUUUUAUCCAUUCUAGUAGAUGUGUAGUGGUAUCUCAAUGUGGCUUCAAUUUGCAUUUCCUUAGUGACUAAUGAUGUUGAGCAUCUUUUCGUGUGCUUAUUGUCCAUCUGUGUAUCUUUGAUGAAGUGUUCAAAUCUUUUGCCAUUUUAAAAGAAUUCUAUUGUUUGUUUUCCUAGUUUAGUUUUGUAGUUUGUGGCUUGUCUUUUUAUUCUCUUUUAUUCAAUUUUUAUUUCAGUGUCUUUUAUAAAGCAAAGGUUUUAAAUGUUAAUGAAGUCCAGUUUUUCCCUCUAUGGACCAUACUUUGGUGUCAUAUUUAAGAACCCCAUCCCUAACUAAUGUUUAGGAAAUUUUUCUUCUAGUAGCUUAAUGAUAAUGUUUUUCACUUACAUCCAUUUUAGGUAAUUUUUAUAUAAGGUGUUAAAUAAAGGCCCAGCUCAUUGUUUUUACAUGUGGUUAUCCAGAUGUUUCAGCAUCAUUUGUGGAAAACAUAGUGUUUCUCCAUUGAAUUGCCUUUGCCCUUUUGUCAACAAUUGAUUGAUCAUAGUUAAGCGGGUCUGUUUCUCAGUUUUCUGUUCUAUUCCAUUGAUCUAUGUGUCCAUCCCUUUGCCAAAGCCACACAUUGUCUUGAUUACUGUAGCUUUGUAGUAAAUCUCAAAAUCAGGUAAUGUAAGCCCUUCAAAUUUAUUCUUUUUCUAAUUUAUAUGUUUCCACUGUCAUAUAUUUGUCUAUAUAUUAUGUCAAGUUUUACUUUAUAUAUUUUGACACUCAGUUGUUAUCCAAAUACAGGCUAAGAAUUGUCAAAUCUCUGGUGAUUUGAAUGUUUUCCCAUUAUGUAGCAACUUUCUUUAAACAUAAGAAUACUUUAUAACAGAUAAUAUUGGGGUUUUUUUGGGGGGGAGGAGGUUUGAAACAAGGUCUCACUCUCUCACCCAGGCUGGAGUACAGUGGUGGUGCGAUUUUGGCUCUUUGCAACCUCAACCUCCUGGGCUCAAGCAGUCCUUCCACCUCAGUCUCUCGAGUAGCUGGGAUUACAGGCAUGCACCACCACACCCAGCUAAAUUUUUUGCAUCUUUUGUAGAAAUGGGGUUUCACCAUGUUGGCCAGGCUGGUCUUGAAAUCAUGAGCUCAAGCAAUCUGCCCACCUUGGCCUCCCAAAGUGCUGGAAAUACAAGCAUGAGCCACUCUGCUCCACCACAGACUUAUUGAGAUAUAAUUUAUAUACCAUAAAAUUCAUCCAUUUAAAAUGUACAAUUCAGUGCACAGAGUUGUAUGACCAUCACCACAAUAAAUCUUAGAACAUUAUC